rnacentral:sRNA from 38 species
UAUCUCUCCGUACGGGGAAGGAUGAGAAGCUUCGACUAAGGUUCGAUUCGAGCGCAGCGAGAAAGCGUUGCCGCAGGCAACGACCCGAAGGGCGAAGCGCGCAGCGCUGAGUAAUCCUUCCCCCACCACCA